UACGUAGGGAGCAAGCGUUGUCCGGAAUCAUUGGGCGUAAAGCGCGCGUAGGUGGCUUCGUAAGUCCGUUGUGAAAGUCAAAGGCUCAACCUUUGAAAGCCGAUGGAUACUGUGAAGCUAGAGUACGGAAGAGGCGAGUGGAAUUCCUGGUGUAGCGGUGGAAUGCGCAGAUAUCAGGAGGAACACCAAUAGCGAAGGCAGCUCGCUGGGACGUUACUGACACUGAGGCGCGAAAAGCGUGGGGGAGCGAACAGG
rnacentral:rRNA from 1 species